CUACCCGGGUAUCUAAUCCUGUUUGCUCCCCAUGCUUUCGCACCUCAGCGUCAGUAUUAGGCCAGAAGGCUGCCUUCGCCAUCGGUAUUCCUCCAGAUCUCUACGCAUUUCACCGCUACACCUGGAAUUCUACCUUCCUCUCCCAUACUCUAGCUACCCAGUAUCGAAUGCAAUUCCCAAGUUGAGCUCGGGGAUUUCACAUCCGACUUAAAUAACCGCCUACGCGCGCUUUACGCCCAGUAAUUCCGAUUAACGCUCGCACCCUCUGUAUUACCGCGGCUGCUGGCAC
rnacentral:rRNA from 1 species